AUCAAUCGAGGAAAAAAAAAAGGAGUCAAGAUCACUAUUUGCUUCGGAAUCACUCUCAAUUUCUUCACCAUCAAUCAAGUAUUUAUCCAUAAUCAAGUAUAAAUAAAAACAUCAAUUGCUAAUCAAUAAUUUCAUCAAUUUAAACAUUUCAUAAUAAUUUCAGCAUUCAUCAAUUCAAUUAUUCAAACAUUUCAUCAUAAUUUCAUCAAUUAACCUAAACAAUUAAAUUCUCAAUUACAUAAUAAUUUUCAGUUUAAUUCUUUUACCACCCUUCUUUACAACCUGCAAAAUUCCCAAUUACUCCGUGUACUAAUUCCCAAGAAACCUUUGUAGACGUGGUAGGGUAGUAAGGCUAGCUAAUCCCUUUACACCAAUUUUCGGAAAUUUAACUCAGUCAAUA
rnacentral:lncRNA from 1 species